UACGUAGGGGGCAAGCGUUGUCCGGAUUUAUUGGGCGUAAAGAGCGUGUAGGCGGCUUGGUAGGUCCGCUGUAAAAGUCAAAGGCUCAACCUUUGAAUGUCAGUGGAUACUGCCGGGCUAGAGUCCGGAAGAGGCGAGUGGAACUCCUGGUGUAGCGGUGGAAUGCGCAGAUAUCAGGAAGAACACCGACGGCGAAGGCAGCUCGCUGGGACGGUACUGACGCUGAGGCGCGAAAGCGUGGGGAGCGAACAGG
rnacentral:rRNA from 1 species